CAACUCUGGGUCCUCUGCAUUUGACCGUGAAAAUCUUUCGCCUUUUACUAAAGAUUUCCGUGCAGAGGAUCACACUAUGAGUGUAAUCCUUUUUUUGGAAUCCCCUCGAAAGAGCGGGAU